rnacentral:tRNA from 1 species
GGAGAGGUGGCCGAGCGGCUGAAGGCAGCGGUUUGCUAAACCGUCGUAGGGGGAAAACUUCUACCGAGGGUUCGAAUCCCUCCCUCUCCGCCA